rnacentral:tRNA from 1 species
UUGAACUGUGACACGAGGAUUUUCAGUCCUCUGCUCUACCAGCUGAG